GUUGCCUACCCGCUCUUUAAAAAUCUCCAGAGGUAUUCCUACAUUUCUGAGAGGGGAAUCUAAUGACUUCCUUCUUACAGAAUGGAGAUUGUGGACAAACUUUUCAUGACAGUUUAAUGAAGUCCUUGAGG